rnacentral:rRNA from 1 species
CGGACGAACGGCUGGCGGCGUGGAUUAGGCAUGCAAGUCGGACGGUAGGGCUUUAUCGUAAGAUAGAGUUUGAGAGUGGCGAACGGGUGAGUAACACGUAGGAAUCUACCCUUAAGACGGGGACAACCCAGGGAAACUUGGGCUAAUACCGGAUGAGAGUGCGAGAGAUUGCAUUUAAAAGGAUGGCGAAAGUUGUCGCUUAGGGAUGAGCCUGCGGUCUAUUAGUUAGUUGGUGAGGUAAGAGCUCACCAAGGCGAUGAUAGAUAGGCGGCCUUAACGGGUGGUCGCCCACACUGGGAUUGAGAUACGGCCCAGACUCCUACGGGAGGCAGCAGUGAGGAAUUUUGCGCAAUGGGGGAAACCCUGACGCAGCGACGCCGCGUGGAGGAUGAAGGCCUUCGGGUCGUAAACUCCUGUCAGAGGUGAAGAAUGCCCGCAAGGGUUUGACGGUAACCUCAGAGGAAGCCCCGGCUAACUACGUG